rnacentral:rRNA from 1 species
CGUUAAUUGAUUAUGACGUACUUGUACUGAUUGAGAUUUUAACACGAAGUGAGUGGCGAACGGGUGAGUAACACGUGGGUAACCUGCCCAGAAGUAGGGGAUAACACCUGGAAACAGAUGCUAAUACCGUAUAACAGAGAAAACCGCAUGGUUUUCUUUUAAAAGAUGGCUCUGCUAUCACUUCUGGAUGGACCCGCGGCGUAUUAGCUAGUUGGUGAGGUAAAGGCUCACCAAGGCAGUGAUACGUAGCCGACCUGAGAGGGUAAUCGGCCACAUUGGGACUGAGACACGGCCCAGACUCCUACGGGAGGCAGCAGUAGGGAAUCUUCCACAAUGGACGCAAGUCUGAUGGAGCAACGCCGCGUGAGUGAAGAAGGGUUUCGGCUCGUAAAGCUCUGUUGUUAAAGAAGAACGUGGGUAAGAGUAACUGUUUACCCAGUGACGGUAUUUAACCAGAAAGCCACGGCUAACUACGUGCCAGCAGCCGCGGUAAUACGUAGGUGGCAAGCGUUAUCCGGAUUUAUUGGGCGUAAAGCGAGCGCAGGCGGUCUUUUAAGUCUAAUGUGAAAGCCUUCGGCUCAACCGAAGAAGUGCAUUGGAAACUGGGAGACUUGAGUGCAGAAGAGGACAGUGGAACUCCAUGUGUAGCGGUGAAAUGCGUAGAUAUAUGGAAGAACACCAGUGGCGAAGGCGGCUGUCUGGUCUGCAACUGACGCUGAGGCUCGAAAGCAUGGGUAGCGAACAGGAUUAGAUACCCUGGUAGUCCAUGCCGUAAACGAUGAUUACUAAGUGUUGGAGGGUUUCCGCCCUUCAGUGCUGCAGCUAACGCAUUAAGUAAUCCGCCUGGGGAGUACGACCGCAAGGGUUGAAACUCAAAAGAAUUGACGGGGGGCCCGCACAAGCGGUGGAGCAUGUGGUUUAAUUCGAAGCUACGCGAAGAACCUUACCAGGUCUUGACAUGUGGGUGACAGUCUAAGAGAUUAGAGGUUCCCUUCGGGGACAGAAUGACAGGUGGUGCAUGGUUGUCGUCAGCUCGUGUCGUGAGAUGUUGGGUUAAGUCCCGCAACGAGCGCAACCCUUAUUACUAGUUGCCAGCAUUAAGUUGGGCACUCUAGUGAGACUGCCGGUGACAAACCGGAGGAAGGUGGGGACGACGUCAAAUCAUCAUGCCCCUUAUGACCUGGGCUACACACGUGCUACAAUGGAUGGUACAACGAGUCGCGAGACCGCGAGGUUAAGCUAAUCUCUUAAAACCAUUCUCAGUUCGGACUGUAGGCUGCAACUCGCCUACACGAAGUCGGAAUCGCUAGUAAUCGCGGAUCAGCAUGCCGCGGUGAAUACGUUCCCGGGCCUUGUACACACCGCCCGUCACACCAUGAGAGUUUGUAACACCCAAAGCCGGUGGGGUAACCUUUAGGAGC